rnacentral:rRNA from 1 species
GAUGAACGCUAGCGGGAGGCCUAACACAUGCAAGCCGAGCGGUAUUAUUUCUUCGGAAAUGAGAGAGCGGCGUACGGGUGCGGAACACGUGUGCAACCUGCCUUUAUCUGGGGGAUAGCCUUUCGAAAGGAAGAUUAAUACUCCAUAAUAUAUUGAACGGCAUCGUUUAAUAUUGAAAGCUCCGGCGGAUAGAGAUGGGCACGCGCAAGAUUAGCUAGUUGGUGAGGUAACGGCUCACCAAGGCGAUGAUCUUUAGGGGGCCUGAGAGGGUGAUACACAACACUGGUACUGAGACACGGACCAGACUCCUACGGGAGGCAGCAGUGAGGAAUAUUGGUCAAUGGGUGCAAGCCUGAACCAGCCAUCCCGCGUGAAGGACGACUGCCCUAUGGGUUGUAAACUUCUUUUGUAUAGGGAUAAACCUACUCUCGUGAGGGUAGCUGAAGGUACUAUACGUAUAAGCACCGGCUAACUCCGUGCCAGCAGCCGCCGUAAAAC